AAGAUUCUGGGUAAUUACUGACGACGACAAUCUUUAUCUAGGAGUCUUGACAAAAUCACGUGCCAGCAGUCGCGGUAAUACGGGAAAGACGAGUGUUAUUCAUCUUUAUUAGGUAUAAAGGGUACCUAGACGGUUUAUUUAGCCCUUAGGGGACACUUAUAGACUAGAGUUUAAUGUGAGAGGCAUAUUAGUACUAACGGAGUAAAGAUAAAAUUUUUUGAUCCUGUGGGGCACUGGUAACGGCGAAGGCAACCCUCUAUGUAAAAACUGACGUUGAGGGACGAAGGCUCGGGUAACGAACAGGAUUAGAUACCCUAAUAGUCCUUGCAGAGAAUUAUGAGUGCUAUAGGUUAGAAAUAUGUUGAUCUAUAAAUGAAAGUGUAUGCACUCCACCUCAAGAGUAAUGUGGCAACGCAGGAACUGAAAUCAUUAGACCGUUUCUGAAACCAGUAGUGAAGUAUGUUGUUUAAUUCGAUGGUCCGCGAAUAAUCUUACCACAAUUUGAAUAUUAUAUUGCUUUACGUUUAUUUGUAUUUGUUUAUAAAUAUCUAAAUCACUGUAAUACAGGUGCUGCACGGCUGUCUUUAGUUAAUGUCGUGAGACGUAGGUUAGAUCCAUAAAAUUAACGUAAACCCUUGUAUCAUUUACAAAUGAUCCAGUUCCCCGUUAUAUUGGAAAGACAAUAGGGACCAAGACAAGUACUCGUGGUCCUAAUAUUGUGGGCUAUAGACGUGCCACA
rnacentral:rRNA from 1 species